rnacentral:lncRNA from 1 species
CACAGUGAUGUAUUCAUGUCUGUCGCUGGGUGGUGGAUGUGUUUUGUGAGCAGGAGCUGCAGGAGGAGAAGAACAGCCUGCAGGAGGAGAAGAGCAGCCUGCAGGAGGAGAAGAGCAGCCUGCAGGAAGAGAAGAGCAGCCUGCAGGAGGAGAAGAGCAGCCUGCAGGAGGAGAAGAGCAGCCUGCAGGAAGAGAAGAGCAGCCUGCAGGAAGAGAAGAGCAGCCUGCAGGAGGAGAAGAGCAGCCUGCAGGAGGAGAAGAGCAGCCUGCAGGAAGAGAAGAGCAGCCUGCAGGAGGAGAAGAGCAGCCUGCAGGAAGAGAAGAGCCGCCUGCAGGAGGAGAAGAGCAGCCUGCAGGAAGAGAAGAGCAGCCUGCAGGAGGAGAAGAGCAGCCUGCAGGAGGAGAAGAGCAGCCUGCAGGAAGAGAAGAGCAGCCUGCAGGAGGAGAAGAGCAGCCUGCAGGAAGAGAAGAGCCGCCUGCAGGAGGAGAAGAGCAGCCUGCAGGAAGAGAAGAGCAGCCUGCAGGAGGAGAAGAGCAGCCUGCAGGAGGAGAAGAGCAGCCUGCAGGAAGAGAAGAGCAGCCUGCAGGAGGAGAAGAGCAGUCUGCAGGAAGAGAAGAGCCGCCUGCAGGAGGAGAAGAACAGCCUGCAGGAAGAGAAGAGCAGCCUGCAGGAGGAGAAGAGCAGCCUGCAGGAAGAGAAGAGCCGCCUGCAGGAGGAGAAGAACAGCCUGCAGGAAGAGAAGAGCAGCCUGCAGGAGGAGAAGAGCAGCCUGCAGGAAGAGAAGAGCAGCCUGGAGGAGAAGAGCAGCCUGCAGGAGGAGAAGAGCAGCCUGCAGGAAGAGAAGAGCAGCCUGCAGGAGGAGAAGAGCAGCCUGCAGGAGGAGAAGAGCAGCCUGCAGGAGGAGAAGAGCAGCCUGCAGGAAGAGAAGAGCAGCCUGCAGGAGGAGAAGAGCAGCCUGCAGGAAGAGAAGAGCAGCCUGCAGGAGGAGAAGAGCCGCCUGCAGGAAGAGAAGAGCAGCCUGCAGGAGGAGUGUAAACACCUGGAGGCCAGGCGGAGGCACGCUGACAGGAGUCUGUCAGCGCUGGAGGAGGAGCUCGCUGCACUGA